GAUCAGGCCAUACUACCCUAAGGAUUCCUGGUCUCAUCUGAUCUCAUAAGCUAAGCAGAGUCAAUCUUGGUGAGUACUUGGAUGGGAGAUAAAGAGAUCAAGGUGCUAAUAUCC
rnacentral:rRNA from 1 species